rnacentral:rRNA from 1 species
GACGAACGCUGGCGGCGUGCCUAAUACAUGCAAGUCGUACGCUUCUUUUUCCACCGGAGCUUGCUCCACCGGAAAAAGAAGAGUGGCGAACGGGUGAGUAACACGUGGGUAACCUGCCCAUCAGAAGGGGAUAACACUUGGAAACAGGUGCUAAUACCGUAUAACAAUCGAAACCGCAUGGUUUUGAUUUGAAAGGCGCUUUCGGGUGUCGCUGAUGGAUGGACCCGCGGUGCAUUAGCUAGUUGGUGAGGUAACGGCUCACCAAGGCCACGAUGCAUAGCCGACCUGAGAGGGUGAUCGGCCACAUUGGGACUGAGACACGGCCCAAACUCCUACGGGAGGCAGCAGUAGGGAAUCUUCGGCAAUGGACGAAAGUCUGACCGAGCAACGCCGCGUGAGUGAAGAAGGUUUUCGGAUCGUAAAACUCUGUUGUUAGAGAAGAAUAAGGAUGAGAGUAACUGUUCAUCCCUUGACGGUAUCUAACCAGAAAGCCACGGCUAACUACGUGCCAGCAGCCGCGGUAAUACGUAGGUGGCAAGCGUUGUCCGGAUUUAUUGGGCGUAAAGCGAGCGCAGGCGGUUUCUUAAGUCUGAUGUGAAAGCCCCCGGCUCAACCGGGGAGGGUCAUUGGAAACUGGGAGACUUGAGUGCAGAAGAGGAGAGUGGAAUUCCAUGUGUAGCGGUGAAAUGCGUAGAUAUAUGGAGGAACACCAGUGGCGAAGGCGGCUCUCUGGUCUGUAACUGACGCUGAGGCUCGAAAGCGUGGGGAGCAAACAGGAUUAGAUACCCUGGUAGUCCACGCCGUAAACGAUGAGUGCUAAGUGUUGGAGGGUUUCCGCCCUUCAGUGCUGCAGCUAACGCAUUAAGCACUCCGCCUGGGGAGUACGACCGCAAGGUUGAAACUCAAAGGAAUUGACGGGGGCCCGCACAAGCGGUGGAGCAUGUGGUUUAAUUCGAAGCAACGCGAAGAACCUUACCAGGUCUUGACAUCCUUUGACCACUCUAGAGAUAGAGCUUCCCCUUCGGGGGCAAAGUGACAGGUGGUGCAUGGUUGUCGUCAGCUCGUGUCGUGAGAUGUUGGGUUAAGUCCCGCAACGAGCGCAACCCUUAUUGUUAGUUGCCAUCAUUUAGUUGGGCACUCUAGCAAGACUGCCGGUGACAAACCGGAGGAAGGUGGGGAUGACGUCAAAUCAUCAUGCCCCUUAUGACCUGGGCUACACACGUGCUACAAUGGGAAGUACAACGAGUCGCGAAGUCGCGAGGCUAAGCUAAUCUCUUAAAGCUUCUCUCAGUUCGGAUUGUAGGCUGCAACUCGCCUACAUGAAGCCGGAAUCGCUAGUAAUCGCGGAUCAGCACGCCGCGGUGAAUACGUUCCCGGGCCUUGUACACACCGCCCGUCACACCACGAGAGUUUGUAACACCCGAAGUCGGUGAGGUAACCUUUUGGAGCCAGCCGCCUAAGGUGGGAUAGAUGAUUGGGGUGAAG